CCCGGCGUUCGCGCGCCGGCUGCGGCCGCUCCGGCGCAUGCGCGGUUCCCGGGAGCAGCGUGGCGGCGCGCAGGGCGCGGGUCUCGGCGGCAGCGGGCGAGCGCCGGGACUGCGGAGGCCACGCUGUGGGUGCGGUUGUCCGUUCGUCCCCUGGGGAUGCCGUUGACUGCAGCAGCCUCAGGCUUGCGUGGGCUGUCUCUGCCUGGCCUCCCUCUCCUCGCGGCGCGGGAGCACAGAGGAACAUGCGGAGCGCUUACUGGCUGUGGACAGGAGCUGCUGAAGCUGACGUUGAAGCUGGAGAGGCCACAGAAUGGUAAAGCUGCUGAAGAAUAAAAUAAAGAGGAUCCAGCCACCAGCUGCAGACAGGAGAGAGCCUGCCUCUCCAGGUGGAUGACAGUCAAGUGAGUGCAGCUACAGAGGAGGAAGGGAGAGGGAGAGAGAGACAGACAUGUCUGAACUGUCAAAUUCUCCCAGCAGCUCCAACAGCGGGAGGUACAGUGAGUCCUGGACCCCUGGGGCUGUGUCACCCCUCUUCUGCAUCCCAGUCCCUCCCUGCCCCCACCUUCUCUUUCUCUCAGUGCUUUAAUUUUUUUGGUUUUUUUUUUUUCUGUACCUCUCCCUUUCUUGUUCUCUAAGUCCCCCUCUUUCUCUGUUGUUCUGCCUCUCUGUUUUCUUUUUCUCUCUGCACUUCUGACCUGUCCCAUCCUUCUUUUUUUUAUCCUCUGUCUCUGCCUUGCAGCCCAUCACUACUUUGUCUUUCUCCAUCUAUCCGUCUGUCUUCUUAUCCCAAUCUUGUUAAUUCCUCCCUGUCUGCCCUUUAGCCCUUCACAGUUCCCACCGCUCUCACCUGUCUGAUGCUGUGUCUCUAUUUUUAAACUCCUUUCUCUGCCCUGUAUUCUGGAUACACUUUUACUUUCUUAGAUUCUCUUGUUCCAGGUCCCUGUCCCUAUGUUUUAACUUCUUCCCUCACUGUCCCAUAGCCCAUUUUUGUCUUUAUUAUUCUCUCUCUGUCUGGUUCCCUGUCCCUAUUCUUUAUUUCCCCUCUCUCUUCCCUUUAGAUCAUCAGUGUUUUUGAUAUUUCUCAGUCUCUCUCAUCUACCUCACUGUCCCGUUUUUUAAUUCUUCCUUUUGCCCUGUGGCUCAUCACUAAUAUUUGUUUUUAUCCAUCUCUCUGUCUGGUACCCUCUCCUUUUUUAUUAGUUCCUCCUCUCUGUCCUGUAGCCCAUUGCUAUUUCCCCACCCUGUCUCUCUCUGUCUCCCUUUCCUUACUUUUCAAUCCCCCCUCUCUGCCCUGUAGCUGAUCACUGUUGUAGUGAGUUUGUGUGGCAAGCUGGGGCAGGGGAGUGGAUAGGGGCUGCAGGGGUGGGUUCUGUGAGAAGACACCAGGACUUGCCCCCAUGUUGGGCACAGCCAGUUCCAGCUCCAAGAUAGAGCUGCUACUGGUCAAAGCUGAGCCAACCAGCAACGCUGGUAGCACCUCUGUGAUAUUUAAGAAGGGCUAAAAAAAAGCUGUGCAGAAGCUGUCAGUCCUGCAGACACCAAGGUCAGUGAAGAAGAAAAAGGAGGUGGUGAUCCAGGUCCUAAAGCAGAGAUUCCCCUGCAGCCUGCAGUGAAGACCAUGGUGACACAGGCUGUCCCCCUGCAGCCCACGGAGGUCCAUGGCGGAGCAGAUAUGCACCCUGCAGCCGACGGAGGACCCCUCGCCAGAGCAGGCGGAUUCACCCGAAGGAGGCUGUGACGCUGUGGAGAGGAGCCCACACUGGAGCAGGUUUUCUGGCAGGACCUGCGGCCCCAUGGGAGUGACACCACACUGGAACAGAAGAAGAGCACAAAGAAGGAAGGAGCAGCAGAGACAACUUGUGAUGAACUGACUGCAACCCCCCGCUCCUUCUCCCCCUGUGCUGCUCGGUAGGAGGAGGUAGAGAAGUCAGGAGUGAAGAUGAGCCCAGGAAAAAAAGAGAGGGGUGGGGGGAAGGUGUUUUUCAGAUUUGUUCGUAUUUCUCAUUAUUGUACUCUGAUUUUGACUGACAAUAAAUUAAUUUCCCCAAGUCGA